AGGUAGUUAAGUUGGGGACAAUAUCGGUGUUGUUAGUAAUGAGUCACUGACCCGUCUCUCUAGUCUUAACAUAGUAUCAGAGCGGGUUGAUUGAUUGUGCCUGAAUUGGGCCUCUAUUCUUACCCAAUAUGUGGUGUUCACAUGUUGGGCUUGAAUGCUUACCCUUACCCUUUACCCAAUACGUGGUGCUCACGUGUUGGGCUUGAAUGUUUGACUCCGAUGUGGAUUUGGCUCCACGUGUGGCCCACUAUGUUGUGGUCCCACGUGAAGGGGUGUGUUGAAGAAUGAGUCACACAUCGGAAACUUGAUUAAAUAAAAUAAAAUACAUAAUAAAUAGUUCUACUACUAAUAUCACCGAGGCCUUUUGUGAUAAAACUCCACACUUACUGGGUUUUGUAGGUGGUUAAGUUGGGGACAAUAUUUUUGUUGUUAGUAGUAGGCCGCUGGCCCGUCUCUCUAAAUUUAACAUGAUAUCAGAGCGGGUCGGUUGAUUGGGCCCGAUUAAACUUAAAUCAAACAAAAACUCCAAAUUGAAUCAAAACCAAACAAACCCCAAAUACUUCACACCAAAAAAAAUAAAAAUAAAAAUGUGACUGAUGUGGAAUUGGUUGCAUGUGUGGCCCACUAAAAAAGUGGUCCCACGUGAGGAGGAGUGUUGAAGGAUACACGAGCCCCACAUCGGAAACUUAACAAAAUAAAAAGUCUCAUAUAAUAAAUGGUUCCACUCCUAAUAACAUCGAGGCCUUUUGUAUAAAACCUCACACCUGUUAAAUAGGUGAUUAAGUUGAGGACAAUAUCGAUGUUGCUAGUGGUGAACCAAGAGUCCGUCCCUCUGAAAUCUUCACACUACAAACUCACUCAUUUUAUUUUUAAAUUGUUGUAAGGAAAAGAAGGAGAAACUCAACAAACUCACUCUUAUUCAUCAAAUAAAAGAUUUUAGAACAAAUGUCAAAUACAAGCGUAUAAUCAUUAGCACACUAUAUGUAUAAAAUAAACUGAAACGUUAUCUACUUGUAUAUAAAAGUUCGACUCUAAGACAUCCGACUUUACAACUUGCUCCCAAUAUAUGUUUAUCAUGUAUAGUGCCCCUUCAACCCUAAAAUAAGAGAAAAUAUUGGCUGAUAUUUCAUCAUGGCUUAGGAGAGAACGUACGUCAGACAGAAUAGUGAUGAUCUGAUUUGGUGUUCCUAAUUUUUAUUCUCUUUUUCUAUUGGCCCCUUCAAAACAUUUAACUCAUGGGACACUUGAGUUGAGACACAAGAAACACAAGAAUGGAUAUGAGAAAGACGAAACAAAUAGAUUAAUCGAACGAGAUGGACGAAAAUUGAGAUAAGGGAGUGAUACCCUUAAAAUAAAGGGAGAUACACUAUAAUACCUAAUAUAUGAGCUUAAAUUAUUAAAAAGAAAAAAAAAACUUAUAUGAAAUGGACUUUAGAAACAUAC
rnacentral:lncRNA from 1 species